rnacentral:misc_RNA from 1 species
UAUGUGAUGGAACCUCUCCGGAUAAUUCUAUCUCUUCUG